rnacentral:tRNA from 2 species
AAGGCCUUAGUUUAACAAAAACAUCUGAUUUGCAAUUAGAAAAUGCAAGAUAGAGUCUUGUAGGUCUUA